GUGGGGAAUCUUGCGCAAUGGGCGAAAGCCUGACGCAGCCAUGCCGCGUGAAUGAUGAAGGUCUUAGGAUUGUAAAAUUCUUUCACCGGGGACGAUAAUGACGGUACCCGGAGAAGAAGCCCCGGCUAACUUCGUGCCAGCAGCCGCGGUAAUACGAAGGGGGCUAGCGUUGAUCGGAAUGACUUGGCGUAAAGGGCGCGUAGGCGGGUCGGUAAGUCAGGGGUGAAAUCCCAGAGCUCAACUCUGGAACUGCCCUUGAUACUGGCGAUCUUGAGUGUGAGAGAGGUAUGUGGAACUCCGAGUGUAUAGGUGAAAUUCGUAGAUAUUCGGAAGAACACCAGUGGCGAAGGCGACAUACUGGCUCAUUACUGACGCUGAGGCGCGAAAGCGUGGGGAGCAAACAGGAUUAGAUACCCGUGUAGUCC
rnacentral:rRNA from 1 species